GUUUCCUGCUUUAUGGCGAAGGGUGAAUGAGGAUCUGCCGGAGGGAGGGAGACAACAAGGAGAGAGGGGUGUGAGAUGAUGGGGUGGGAACAUGCACAAACCAAGCCAUGAGCUCUGCCCUCCAGCCCAUCCUGGCAGCUGGGGCCACAUGGCCCAGGAGAUUCCGGGCAUCGUACCUGCCACCACGGGUCCCAGGCUCAGGACCUUCCCUUCUGCAGCCCCGGAAUUCAAUGCCGGCUGGUCGUGCACAGGCCAGGCACAGAACAGAGCAGCUCCUUCCAAGGACCACGCCCUGCCUGGACCCUGGGCUCCUUCCUGGUCUCCUCACCCUGUCUGGGCCCACAGAGAACAGGAUGCAGGGCUGGGGCAGUUGGCACAUGAGACCGUUCAGGUUGCUUUGCUCCAUUCAUUAAGUUAUUCUUCUCCAGAUCCUCCAAAAAUGCAGGCACAGAGAGGUCGAGAAACUUGCCACACUCUCAUAGGGGGCAGAGCCAGGAUUUAAACCCCAGGGGUCUGGCUCCAGGGCCCAUGCUCUCAACCGCUGCUCUGCAGUGGAUAACAUCAUGACCACUUCUUACACUUGCAAAGAGCGGACAAUAGAUUUUGCCUGUGUUAUCCUGAUCCGUUGCCCCCAGCAGCCCUGUGACACGGGUGAGCAAUAUUCUGUCUGUUUUAUAUGCCGAGAGCCUGAAGCCCAGAGAGGUAAACGUCCCAGGUGCGUAUGAGACAGAGACUAAAUCGAGGACAGCAGUUCCUGACCCAGGCAUUUUCUCCUUCAAUAAAAUGACACACCCGAUACCCCAGCAGAAUAGGUGGAUUUCCGUCCCCCCGCCCCAUAUCCAAGCAAAUAUAAAUGUGCACACUCAGCUUGAAGAUUAUAGGGGUUAAUUUUUUUAAAAAAAUUCUUUAUCAGGUACCUGGGGAUUUUCUUAGUUCUGACCUCAGUUUAGAUUUCACUCGGCCUCCCCUAACAUGAGCAGACCAUCUCGUAAGGUGGCCUCCAAGAAGAACUUGUUCAAUUAAAGGCAAGGGUACAUCACCCCUCACCAUGACUCCCUCCCACCAGGGCACGAGACAGCACACACCUGCUCCCCGUACGUGGAUCACGCACGUCACAAAUGCAGUAUGUGAACUAGUGUGCAGAACUGAAAUCAAGGCUGGCUCCGUGGUUACAUAACGGCUCCUCUAAAGGCAAUCGCUUUCAAUGAUUCCCAUCGAGCUGGGCUCUCCGAGGAGCCGUAGCGGUUUCUGGUUGUGUGCCAGGCACUUCUGAAAGCUGCAGUAAAUUCUGGAGGCCACAAGGGCACCAUCAUCAUGUAGCAGCAAUUACUGACUAAAUGGCGCUCUGGUUCCAUGCCUUGCGAGGGGGCUUCCUGCUUUCUAGGCAGGAUGGAGUUGCUUAGAGCCCGGCUUAAUGAAAUUGAACAAGAUGCCUAAUUUCUCGAGAGUGUAAGAAAAGUUUAAAAUGCUUUAUGGAUAUGUUGAUUUGAUACCAAAUGCUUUCUCAAAAUCCUAUAACUUUCUAAAAUUUAGGCAAUUCAGUGAAAGACAAACCAACCUAUAUAGUCAGACAUUUCGGUGAUGUUGCACUGAAUGGCUCAAACAUCCCCAUGAUGACUGGGUUUCUUACUGGGAUUGAACUUGAAUUGGGGUGCAGAGGGCACAGUGCUUUAGGACUUGGGCGAGUCUGAGCCCUGGAUCUGCAAGGACCAGCCAAGUAGCUUUAGUCUCCUUGACCUCUCAGAGGCUUGGCUUUCUCACCUGUAUAACAGGGAUAAUAGAAUCUGCUUCACAAGGCUGAUGUAAGGAUUAAAUGAGAUUUUAUAUACCUACAUUAAAUGCUUAGCCCAGAAUGCUUGGUAACACAAAUGCUCAGUAAAUAGAUAUUUCAGAGUUACGUGAAGAGUCAUAAGCUCCCCAAUUCUUGAGUCUCUGUCUUCAUAAUAUUCACAUUCUGUUGAUAAAUCUGCUUCUUGCACUUGUAAAAUAGAGGAACAAGGGCUGUGCAGACGCCUAACUACGCCGGGUGGUAAACAGCAACCAGAAAUGAGGCCACACGACGUUUCUGUUGAAUGCUUUGCCCCUUGUUGACUUUACAGAAGAGAUGGCCAUGUCUUCGCCCCAUCCUGAGGUCAGGUGUGAGGACCUGUGCUUCUCUCCUGGCUCCCUAGGCCGGAGGGCCUUCCUGUGCCCAGUGAGGAUACACGGAGUCUUCCUUCAGCAGUGCUGACGGCACCAAGGGCGGGAAAGGCAAUUACACUACCCCGUGAGUCCUGGGGAGCAGCCACCCGGACGUGCAGAAGCAGGGGUGCGGGCGAGAUGAAGCGUGUCUGAGGAGCGAGGAAGGAUUCGUGGACCAGUUUUCAUCUCUUUUGACCUCAACACAGAUAUACCAAGUACCUACCAUGAAUCAAAGCACUGAGGAUAUCACCUUGAACAAGACGAGAAACGUGGCCCUCGAGGAACUUACAAUCUUUGGAAGGAUGCAGUCAGAUAAAUUGGAAAUCACCAUGUUAAGGGAGAAGUUUCUUGAAAGAGAUACGUCAGAUGCUAGGGGAGCCCGUAAGCGGUCUGAGGGAAGCUGAAGGGUGGAAUGGCCAGGAGGUAACAAGGGGAAGAAGCUUCCACAGGAAAAAAAUCUACACACAAGACUUUCGUGCUCUCAAGAAAUGGAAAGACAUUUACUGUGGCUGUCGGAGAAUCAGGGUGGGGGAUUUGGAAAGAGCCUGCUGGCUGCAGAGGGAGACGGGACCUCUGGUUUGAAGUUUGGAGCUCAGUCCCCAUCACGGAAGGGCUUUUGUCCCUCCUGUGUCCAGUGCGGGGGAGUAGACACCUUUGGGCGAGUCACCAUCAAAUGCCCAGAGGUGGGUGCAUCCUUCCUUCCUGACCCAGGGAGGGCCUGGCCGCCCACAAUGCUGACCACCUAUCCGUGUGGACAGGGUGGGCUCUGAGGCCGGAAGCCAGGAAUGAGUGGGAAGCGGGGAAAGGUGUGACCCAGGAAGAGGUUUGACACUUUCUGAACAAAGGCCCUUUGUUCAGGCCCUUUGUAUGGUCUGGAGGGUGGAGGAGAAAGAUGAGCCGGCCUGGCCGGACCCAAGUGGGUUCUGAGUGUGAAGUCCGCACACGAGGGGAUGCCAACUUGCCUGGGGACAGAGAGCGCGGAGCCUACAGCGAGGGAGUCUGCAAAGCUCUGGCUGAAGCCUGCUGUCCAGAAAUGUAUACUUUGAAAAAGUGACCAUCUGGGGAGGUCUUAGGCCUUUCUCUGGUCAUUCUUCACUCCUUACAGGGCUCUGAGGAGUAGGCAGAGUAGGAGAACAAGAGAGAGGUCAUUGCCCCAAACUCUUGUUACGUGUAUGGAUACCCAGACCCUUGAGAUGUAGGAUAACUUCCCUGUGCCCCAUAAUCCUUUUUUUAAUUCUAAUUUUAUUUUUCUUGGCUGCACCAUGUGCAUGGCAUGUGGGAUCUUAGUUCUCCGACCAGGGAUUGAACCCGUACCCCCUGCAGUGACAGUGCAGAGUUCUAACCAUUGGACCACCAGGGAAGUCCCUGUGGCCCAUAACCCUUUGCCCAAGUCUCAGUCACAGCAAUGGCUGCACUGAACAGCACCUUGAUCUGUUUAGAUUCCUUUAUGAGUUCUCAAGGGCAGGGGCCCCAUCUUUGUCUACCUAGCACCUGUCACAAAAGUUUAAUUAAUGUUGCAGUAAAUACACGUGGCAGAAAAAUGCUUUACAAAUGUGAGGGGCUAUUGUGAUGGUUGGUGAGUGGAUUCUCCACCGUGGGACCCUCGAGUCCCAUCGUUGGAUACUUUCCCCUUUCACCUUCUGUCUGAUUCCUCACAUCACUGCCCAGUCCAAAAGCGACAAUGGUUCAAUGUGUUGUGCUGUGAAAAUUUCCACUUAACUACCUGGGGAUUUUUGUUUCAGCCCCAAAGAGUGUCAAGGUGAGCGUCCGAGCCUUGGCAGGACUAUAGUGGGGGAUUCAGUCCUGUAAAUCUCGCCACCAUGCCUACCCUCGCUCCCCAAGGAAUGGCGGUGCCAGCAC